CUCACAGAACAACAUUCCAUUACAGCCCGCUCCAAACUGGACAAGGAUACAGUUUAUUUUUCGAGAAAUAUAUCUACGACUACGAAGAUUGUUUUCCAAGCUGACGGCGCCAAUCUUCAAGAAACCACAUGCAGCUGUACAGCAGGCAAGGUUCUUUGCAACCAUCUAGUGGCCUUGUUGUUCCAGAGUGCCCAUUACAGCAUGUUGCAGGUGAGAGCUGUACCACCUCCUAUGGCCUGCACAAGCUCUCUGCAAACAUGGCAUCGACCAAGGACUAAGGGGAUCCAUGCAGAGCCGGUUCCAGACUUGGUGGUUAGGAGACCAAAGCCAUCCCCCAGGAGUGUAUGCAAAUCAACACUCUAUCAAGCAUACACAGGUGAUGUUACUACUGUAACUAAUAUCAUACUGUUGGCUGCUGUAUAAUACAUAAUUGUAUCUUGCCACUUUAAUACUCAUAGAUUAUGUACCAAAUAUAACACUGCAGUGAGCUAUUCUCCAGAAAGACUCUUGACAUCAGAA